AUGGCCACAGACUUUCCAAACCAUGGUUUCUCUGUGUUUGAAGACAAGUAUAAUGGGUCCUCCAAACUGUCUGCUGUUCUUCUGCAGCUGUUCCAACACUGCUCUCUUUCUAGGAGAUGGUGCCAGCUUUUGAGGAGGUGGAAGACAGCACAGAAGUGGAUCUUAAAGCCAAGAGCUGAUAAGGAUAAUAAUAAUAGAGGUGUGAAAUCAGGAUUGUAUUUUCCCUCUCCUUGGUAAUUUCAAUUUAUAAAUGAUUGGAUUGCAUGUCUUUAUAAUAAAGAAAAUUUCAAAAAAUCA
ensembl:lncRNA